GUAACAGUAUUACAAGUCCGGUUAUAAGAUCCCUCAGAAUCGCAAUUACAAGGUGUACACCCCUAAAAUAUUUAUAUACAUAUAUGUGUAUGAACAUAAUCUAUAGUAUUCCAUAGCUUUGUUUUUACGUCCUAUUACAUGGGGUUUGCAGAGGCAAUGACCUACAAGCUGAUCGCAAGGAGCGACUCUUCCAUCUUCAAGUUCAACUGUACCUGGUGGAUAACACUGACACAAUUUGCAUCCAUCUUCUCUAUUAUCGGAUAAAGCAUCUCCAUAAUAACCUAAUGAAUGAUUUAUCAAUGCUCAUGAGACACAUCACUAUUUCCAAAAAUAUUGUAAAUGUUGUGUUAAACUGUUCUCUUAAUAUACCCGAAAGACAUUCUUCGCAAUGAAAGCCAGCAGUGUUAUUGACACAUUUCAGACAUUCUCCGGUUUCGUGAUUACAAUUUCGUACUGCAUUUAAAUCAAUGUUAUUAUUACAAUCACAAGGUCGACAAGCUAUUCCCUUUUCGGGAUUACCGAAGUAACCAUCUGAACAAGUUUCACAUCUUGGUCCUAAAAAGAAUCAAAAAUAAUUUGAAAUUAUAAAAUUACUUUUAAUUUUACAAAUUGGAUAUAAGAAACGAACGUGUAUGAAAACUAUCUUUUUACCUGUUCUUCCUAUUGGACAUUCAGAACAAAUCGGAUCAGGAUUAUUACCAAGAAGAAUGCAAGGACCGUUAUCAGGACACGGACAUGGCUUACAAUCGUUGGAAGUGCCUUUUAAAGGAUACCCAUAAUAUCCACGACUACAUAAUUCACAAUUACUACCAGCGGUAUUAUGUUGACAAAUACAUUGACCUGUGAUAUAUUAACCCAAUAGAUAUAUGAAUAAUUUGAGAGACAAACAUAAAAUUCAAUCUAUGUACACAAUAUUUACUCACCCGUUUCAGCUUCGCAAAUAUCUGCAUGUCCGUUACAAUUACAUGGAACGCAAAGAGCAAAAGGACCACCAUUUGGUGGAUCAUGAUGAAAACCAGGUGCGCAAGAUUCACAAAAUUGACCAACAUAGCCGUGAGGACAAUUACAAUGUUCAACCCAAUCAGCAGGUUCACCGGCAGCACCGCGAAGUGCAGUUUCCAAUUUAACGUCAUCCAGAAAACCUCUACCUAAUUACACGAAAAACAUAAUUGAUAAAACGAAUUUCUUUAAGAUUUCUUAUUACACAAGAAACUUCACCUUGAUGCGUGUAAGUUCCACGUAUCUUUAUAGCGGUUAAGUUGGAGAGAAUGGACAUAAAAGCUCUGGCAGAUAAUCUCGGUUGCCAACCAUAUUCGCUAUGCUCGUGUAAUCUAAAUCUAUAUUCUUGUGGCUAAAAAAAUAUUUGAAAGCAUUAAAACCAAACGUACAAGAUAAAUACGAAUUUAAUAUUA